AUUGAACGCUGGCGGCAGGCCUAACACAUGCAAGUCGAACGAGUGGCGGACGGGUGAGUAAUGUCUGGGAAACUGCCCGAUGGAGGGGGAUAACUACUGGAAACGGUAGCUAAUACCGCAUACCAUCGGAUGUGCCCAGCUGGGAUUAGCUAGUAGGUGGGGUAACGGCUCACCUAGGCGACGAUACCGAGCUGGUCUGAGAGGAUGACCCGCCAAACUGGAACUGAGACACGGUCAAGAGUCCUACGGGAGGCAGAGGUGGGGAAUAUUGCACAAGGGGGGCAAGCCUGAUGAGGCCAUGCCGCGUGUAGGAAGAAGGCCUUCGGGUUGAAAAGUACUUUCAGCGAGGAGGCGUUACUCGCAGAAGAAGCAUCGGCUAACUCCGUGCCAGCAGCCGCGGUAAUAC
rnacentral:rRNA from 1 species